rnacentral:lncRNA from 1 species
UGGUCUUUGGCUGAAGAGCAUUAUGGAAAUAAAGCUCCACUUAGGUGCACUGAGAGCUUCCUGCCUUGGCCUGGUAUGCUUGACUCAGUGAUGGCACACACAUCUUGGACUUUGUGCCUGUACCUGCACCAGAUGCCAUGUGCCCUGGCAGGGUGAAGUUAUUUGUCUUUGGAGGGAAAGUCUAUAGAUCCAGAUCUGAGAAAUCCAUCAUCAAGCCAUCUCAGGGGCUGAGAAAUUGAGGUUUCUUCUCAGUGUUCUUUGAGCAACCUUUGCCCUGGUCACCAUCUAAAACCCUGGUAAGAACUUCUUCUGCAGUCUUAUUUUUGUAUUCUCUCAAAAACUGCACUUAUUUAA